rnacentral:rRNA from 1 species
GAACUGAAGAGUUUGAUCAUGGCUCAGAUUGAACGCUGGCGGCAGGCCUAACACAUGCAAGUCGAGCGUGAAAGGUCUUCGGACUGAGUAAAGCGGCGGACGGGUGAGUAAUGCUUGGGAAUCUACCUAGUAGUGGGGGAUAACGUGUGGAAACGCACGCUAAUACCGCAUACGUCCUACGGGAGAAAGCAGGGGACCUUCGGGCCUUGCGCUAUUAGAUGAGCCCAAGUCGGAUUAGCUAGUUGGUAGGGUAAAGGCCUACCAAGGCGACGAUCC